GAGCUUUCCGGGGGGGAGUGAACUUAGUCAGUUCACCAUUGAUGAACUACAGAAGAAGCAGCAGCUUGAGAAUGGGAGAUUAAAAGUAACUUUAUUAUUGAAUCAUACUCUUGUAUCCACAUGAAUGGAAUGAUACUCCGAUUUAUAGACUGAGUUAUCUCAUUUGUAACUAACUCUACAUAACUGCCUUCUUAACUAACCUAAAUAAUUUCCUGAACUUUUACUUCAACAAUACUGUAACUAAUACAAGCAGUACAUUUAGUGUAGCUAAGUAACAUUUCUUCGAUCAACACUCUCCCUCAAGUUAGGCGCUCUGAAUAUGUUCAGGACUCCUGACUUGGAAUUGAGAUACUGAUGUUGAGCUUUAGACAAUCCUUUUGUAAGUAGAUCAACUGGUUGAUCUCUAGUAGAUAUGUAUCGAGCCUUGACUUUGGCUUGUUGUAUUUUUUCUUUAAUAAAGUGAUGACCAAUUUUUAUGUAUUUUGUUCUCUCAUGAACUACUGGGUUUGCAGCAAUUUGUAAUGCUGACUUGCUUUCACUGAAUACAUCAACUGGUACAUCAACUUUGAUAUCCAAUUCUAUCAGUAAUCCAAGUAGCCAAGUGAGCUCAAACAUAGUAUAAGCUAGGCAUCUAUAUUCAGCUUCAGCAAGCUUCUGGCUAUAGUAUCUUUUUUCUUAGAUUUUUAAGACAUCAAUAAGUCUCCUAGUUUUAUUAGGAACCCUGUAACUGACCUUCUUAUGUGAGAACAAACUGCUCAAUCAGAAUCACAAUAUGCAAUCACCUUCUGUAUAGAAUUGCUAGACAUAAGAACACCUUGUCCAGGUUCAGAUUUGAUGUACUUUAUUACUCUCAAGGCUGCUUCCAUAUGAGAUCUCUUAGAUUGUUGUAGAUACUGACUUAGUGUUUGAACACUAUAAGUAAUAUCAUAUCUAGUAAUUGUUAGAUGUAGGAGUUUCCCUAUCAAAUUUUGACAGGAGCUUAUAUCAGUUAGCAGCGGACCCUUUCCUCUGUUGUAGCUUUUAUACUCAUCAUAUUACUUUGUUGUCAGCUUGAUAUUUGUGUCUAUAGAUGUAGCAAAAGGUUUUUAUCCUGCUAGUCCAAACUCAGAUAUUAGUAAAAGAGAGUACUUUCUUUGAUUCAUCAGAACUCCUUCUUUUGAUCUAACAAAUUAAUUCCAAGAAAGUAUUUCAGUUCACCUAAGUCCUUCAUCUUGAACACUUGUUGCAAUGCCUACUUUGUUUUUUCAAUUUGCUUUAGACUACUUCCUAUAACUAAAAUAUCAUCCAUAUAAACUAAUAUCAUCACAGUUCCAUCUCAUACCUUUAAUGUAAAUAGAGUGAUCAUACUGGUUUUGUUUGAAGUUAAGCAUUCGUAGUGUUUUUGAUAGCUUGGCAUCCUAUUGCCUUGGUCCUGUUUCAACCCAUACAUAGAUUUAAUAUCUGCAAAUAAGUUUGCGACCAGGUUUAUGCUCCUCCUAGCUUAGAAAUCCCUGUAGAAGUUCCAUGUAGAUCUCAUUAGUGAGAUCACCGUGCAAACAAAUAUUGUAUACAUCAAUUUGGUGAAUAUUCCAAUGACUUGAUGUAACUAAGGCUAGUAUUGUCCUAAUUAAGACCACCUUGACUAUAAGAGAGAAGGUUUCCUGAUAGUCAAUGACUUCUUGUUGGCUAUAGCCCUUAGCUACAAGCUAGCCUUGAACUUUUAUAUAUAUCUUGAUGAUUUGUACUUAAUAUUGAGGAUCCACUUGCAACCAAUAGGUCUCUUUCAUUUAGGUAUACACACUUGGGAUAGUUUUUGAGCCAGAUAGCUCAUUGGUUGGGCAUUUUUGAUCUCUUAGAAGGUACUGGAGCUUGAUUAGCAGGCUCUUAUGGUCUUAAGGCUCUUGUAGCACCUCUUGUGGUACUAGAUAAACUUGAUUAGGGACCUGCUCAUUUCUAGCAGCCACAGAAGAUAAGUUAGUAGAGGUAAUGAACUUGUGCAUAGAGAAAUCAUCAGUGUAAGAGUAUAAAGCAGGAUCUAUAGAUUGAAAUAAAGGUAAUUUUAAAGUAUUAGUCAUAAAUGGAAAAACAUCUUCCUUAAGUAUUGUGUUCCUACUAACAAAGAAUGACUUAGAGUUCAUAUCAUAUAUUAGGAAGCACUUUUGAACUUCGGAAUAACCUAUGAAUAUAGCAAAUUUAGUUCUAGGACCUAGUUUGUCUAAUUGUUGUACAACGCUUGCAUGACAUAAGCAUCCUAAACUCUCAUGUGAAGUAGAGAUGGUUUCUUCUUAUACGAUUUUUCAAAAGGUGACAUUCCUAUAACUGAUGAUGAAGGUCUAUUGAUAAUAUAGACAACAGUUAAAACACAAUAUCCCCAGAAUUUAAUAGGAAGAUGAGCUUGAAACCUAAGAGCUUUUGAAACUUCUAAAAUAUGUUUGUGUUUUAUCUCAGCUACACCUAUAACUGAUGAUGAGAGUUUAUCGAUAAUAUAGAUAAUAAUUAAAACAUAAUAUCCCAUAAUUUAAUAGGAAUGUGAGUUUGAAACCUAAGAGCUCUUGUAAUUGUUAGAAUAUAUAUGUGUUUCCCCUUAGCUACACCAUUUUGUUGAGGGGAAUAGUUAUAUGACUUUGAUGAAUAAUACCCAAACUCUUACAAAGAUUAGUGCAUAUAUAAUUCACAAAUUCAGUUCUAUUAUCUAUUUUACAAAUUUUAACAGUUAUAUUGAAUUAAGUUUGAACAAACAUAAGAAACUGUUUAAUAGCAAUACAUGUAUCAGAUUUCAAUUUUAACAGAAAUAUCCAAGUCAUUCUCUUAAAAUCAUCCACAAUAGUCAAGAAAUAUUUUUUACCAUCAAUUGUAGGAGUUUUAUAAGGAACCACAUAUCCAUGUGAAUCAUAUCAAAUGAACUAGUACUUUUAAUACUACUAGAAGGAAAUGAAAAUUUGACUUACUUAGCACUAGGACACACUGAACAUUUACUUAUGAUUCUAGCUAUAGAUUCAAACUUGCUAGAUAGUACUUUACAAAGUAUAGUAGGUGUUACAUGACCAAAUUAUGCCAAAGAUUUAUUUCUAAGUCAGACACAUUGCCACACUCUUUUGUGCUAUUAGCAGCUAGUUUGAUCUCAUUAGUGGUUUGUUCAGAAUUUUGAUUCAGUAGAUAUAAGUCUUCUUCUAGUCUACCAAAAUCCUUCACUUUCCUACAUGAGAGAUGCUGAAAAUAUAAAAAUUAGGAUAAAAGAAAACACCCCAGUGUAAUUCCCUUACGGCUUUAGCACCAGUCAUUAAGUUGUAUUUGAACUACGGAAGCAAAUAAAAAUUUUCUAGUCUACUUCUAUCAGAAAUAAUGCUUGAACCAGUAUGUGUGACUAGUGAAACAUCUCCAUUAGAAAGAUAUACAAUUUUAGGAUGUAUUCUUUCAGUAAUGGAGUCUUCGUCAAGCAUAUUCACAUUAGACACCAUAUGACUGGUACCUCCAAUGUCUAUAAUUCAGUCUUUAUUGUUGUUAAAGACUAAAUAGACACUACUUACACCUGAACCUUUAAUGUUACUUCAGGUGUCAAGAGAACUAUUCAUAUUAGUACUAGAUUAAGAAGAAGAGUUCUUGUGCAACAUUUGCCGGAUUUGGUCAUAUUGUUCUUUAGUGAAAACAUAUGCUCCGGUCUACAGUUGCAUACUCUCUUUGAGCUGACCUUGUGGAUCACAUUCUUGCAUUCAUAUUAGUACUAGAUUAAGAAGAAGAGUUCUUGUGCAACAUUUGCCGGAUUUGGUCAUAUUGUUCUUUAGUGAAAACAUAUGCUCCGGUCUACAGUUGCAUACUCUCUUUGAGCUGACCUUGUGGAUCACAUUCUUGCAUCUAUUGUCUUUGAUACAAACUUCUAACACUAGACAACAUGUGGGUCUUAUCCCUGAUUAUAAGAAGGAUCAAACAGCUGAGAAAGAUCCUCUAUUGUUCUUAUAAAUAUUGGACCUUAGAUCAAACAUCUAAGAAACAUCCUCCAUUGUUCUUAUAAAUAUUGGACCUUCUCUUAUUGGAACCUGCAUCAUUACCUUCCACCUAUAAAUUUCCUCUUUUUGAAGUUUGGUGGAUACCCCACAGGCUUGUAGCCAUUUUUUUCGACAUACCCUUUAAGUUUGCAGUAGUCACACUGUAGGUUGUAGUAUUUCUUGAGUUUUUGUAAACCUGAUCCUGUUUAUUACAGAGGAGAAGCAUUAUAAUGAGAUAAACUGAUGAGGUUCCAGCACUAAGCAACCCAGUAGAGGAAUUAAUAAUGGACUUCUGUCCUUCAUUAUUCAAGAUCAUUACAUAUGUUGAUUCUCAGUUGAUAGGGAAGUCAUUAACAAAAUUUUACUUCUUGCUUGUUGGUAGGUUUCAUUCAACCCCAUCAAGAAUUGAUAGAGCUUUUGUCUUUGCAAGUAAGUCACAACUCCCUCGAUCAAACAUAAUCACAAGCAGGGGUGGAACUAAAGACUCCAAUUCAUUCCACAAACCUUUAACCUUUGCAAAGUAUAUUGACAUAGAUGAAGUGCCUUGUGUUAAAGAAUUGAUCUCUUUAUGCAGAUUUAACGUUCUUGAACCAUUUGUUUUAUCGAAUCUUUCCUUCAAAUCAUCCCAAACCACAAAUGCAUUAGAAGCAUAAAUAAAACCACUUAAUAAGCUAUUUAAGAUAGAGUUCAUUAACCACGACAACAUAAUAGCACAUAAUAGCAGUGACCCUCUCCCAUUGCUCCCACAGUUCUUUCUUGAAUAUCUCCUUCUUACAUGAACCACCACCAAGGCCAGUUUAUUUUUUCCUAAAAAGGCUAUUCGCAUGGAUCGACUCCAAAAUGAGUAAUUCAUAGUACCAAUUAAUUAAAUAGAGAUAACGGAAGCUUCACUUACAUCAGAGGUAUGCAGAAAGAGAGGAUGGUUAGAAUCGAUUUCUUAUAUUGUCUGUGAACCAGUUCCUUGAUUCCCAAUAUUGGUUGGUACAUGAACAUUUAUUUUUAUCACCAUUGAUAAAACUUGACAAAUUCCUGAUGAAUCUUAAGUUUAUCAGUAAAUUAGGGAAAUAGGAUCUCAAAGAUAAUAGUUGAGUAUGAACAAAUUUGAACCCGAAGAUCAAAGAAGAAUCUCAAAUAGCUUUGAUACCAUGAACUUAGUUAGCUCACUAUUGAUGAAAUACAGACUCAAAGAAGAAGAAGAUAAUGAUGAUGAUGAAGAGAAGAAGAAGAAGAAGAAAGAAAGAAAGAAGAAGCUGGAGAAUGAGAG
rnacentral:lncRNA from 1 species